rnacentral:tRNA from 1 species
UAUGCUUAGGUGUAUGGUGCACGGAGAAUUUUGAGUUCUUAAGUUACGGGUCACUCCUGUAAAGUAUAA